GAGGUUGAGCUUCACUAAAGAAGUGUCAGGGGGUCCCUUGUUGGCUAAGAGAUAACUUGGUCUGUAGCUAGUAAAGGUGAUGGAUUGAUUAAACAGAUCAGUUCUGAUGUGUAUAUAUGAUGGUUUGAGGGUUUGUCUGCUCCUCUGAACAAAUUUAAGUAACACAGUUGUGAAAUGGCAGCUUUUCUGGUCAAGGCACAUUGGUGUUGGGAACUUACUAUUUUGGGGAAAAAAAAGAUAACUGUUUACCCUUUUUAUUUACCCUUUUUAAACUGUUAGUGACAUUUAUCAUAUACUGUUUUCUUGGGCUCUUGUCACAGUGUAGGUUAUGUUUGCAUUUCAAAAUUAUCUAUAUAAUACACAAAGAUUUACACCCAAAGAUCCUCCCUUUAUAGAUACCUUUGGUCAACAUGAGUUUUUUUAGACAACAGUAAACCAGAUACAAUCACUGACUUGCUGUUUGAAGUAUCUUUUCUAUUUCCUUUACAUUUGUAGCCAUCUAACAUUGUAGAUCUUAAGAUAAUAUAUUUCCAGAAUUAGACAACAUAUCCCCUGAACUCAUGUUUUUGUUUGUUUUCCUACUGCAAAAUUGUAGACUUCCCUGUAGUGAGUGUAGACAGAAGUUAAUUAUAAUUUAAUGCAUCUCCCAGGUUCUUGUGUUCUUUGCAAGAUGAGUUGACAGUGAUUAGUAAUCUGUUCUAUAAUCCCAAGAGUGUUUUAAAUUAUUUAAGGUAAAUAUUUGUUUUCAAAGUUACAUAACUCAAAAUCACAUUGACUUUAAAUUUACAACGGGUUUAUUUUCAGUAAUUUUGACAUAUUACUUUCAAGUUUCAUUUUAAUCAGAUACUUAUACAUUCCUGUUUUAAAAUAGCCAAAAGGAAGUCUUGGCCUGUACUUGGAAGGUGUUUUUUCUUUUGUCAUGAGUCAAGUUCAUUAACAUUAGUGGGGCUAUUUUUUACAUAUCUUAUUUUACAGAGUUGACACUUAGUAUAAUUUUCACAUUUUAUCAUGUGUCUGAUUUUAAAUUAUAGUUAGCAUACUAUAGUUUAAUUUUGUGCAGAGCCUAUUCUUAAAGAGCUCUUCCCUUAGAAAUUAUUU
rnacentral:lncRNA from 1 species